GAGCCAGGGACGGAGCCCUGGGGUCACGCGCUGAGUGAGCCACGAGGGGCGCGAUCAGGCCGGACCCAGCCGAGUGCAGCUCGCCGUCCUGCUCCCUGCUGGCCAGCAUGUCCUUCGUCCCUGUGGCCGAGGAUUCUGACUUCCCCAUCCAAAACCUGCCCUACGGCGUCUUUUCCACCCCAGACAACCCAAGACCGAGGAUCGGCGUGGCCAUUGGCGACCAGAUCCUGGACCUCAGCGUCAUUAAGCACCUCUUCACCGGGCCCGUUCUCUCCAAACACCAGGAUGUCUUUGAUCAGCCGGCUCUCAAUAGCUUCAUGGGCCUCGGCCAGACCGCCUGGAGGGAGGCGAGAGAGUCCUUGCAGAAUCUGCUGUCCACAAGCUGUGCCAGGCUCCGAGACGACACGGACCUUCGGAGACGGGCGUUCACGGCCCAGGCUUCUGCUGCGAUGCACCUGCCAGCCGCCAUAGGUGACUACACGGACUUCUACUCCUCCCGCCAGCACGCCACCAACGUGGGGAUCAUGUUCCGGGGCAGCGAGAACGCGCUCAUGCCAAACUGGCUGCACUUGCCAGUGGGUUACCACGGCCGUGCUUCCUCCGUCGUGGUGUCAGGCACGCCGAUCCGAAGGCCCACGGGGCAGAUGAGGCCCGACGACGCUAAGCCCCCCGUCUUUGGCCCCUGCAAGCUCCUGGAUAUGGAGCUGGAGAUGGCUUUCUUCGUAGGCCCCGGGAACAACUUGGGAGAGCCGGUCCCCAUCUCCAGGGCCCACGAGCACAUUUUCGGGAUGGUCCUCAUGAACGACUGGAGCGCUCGAGACAUCCAGAAGUGGGAGUACGUCCCCCUUGGGCCGUUCCUGGGGAAGAGUUUCGGCACGACCAUCUCUCCGUGGGUGGUGCCCAUGGACGCCCUCCUGCCCUUUGCCGUGCCCAACCCGGAGCAGGACCCUAAGCCCCUGCCGUAUCUCCGCCACGACCGGCCCUACACGUUCGACAUCAAUCUCUCUGUCAGCCUGAAAGGAGAAGGAAUGAGCCAGGCAGCCACCAUAUGCAGGUCCAACUUUAAGUACAUGUACUGGACGAUGCUCCAGCAGCUGACCCACCACUCUGUCAAUGGCUGCAACCUUCGGCCAGGGGACCUCUUGGCUUCUGGAACCAUCAGCGGGCCGGAGCCCGAAAGCUUUGGCUCCUUGUUGGAGCUGUCCUGGAGGGGAACGAAGGCCAUCGACCUGGGGAACGGACAGACCAGGAAGUUUCUGCUGGACGGGGAUGAAGUCAUCAUAACAGGGGCACUAAGGACACUGGCAGCGUUGGGCCACCCACCAGCCCCACCGUCCGUCCGCCUCCUGAAGUCUUCAUCCUGCAAAACUGAAACUCGGUCGCCAUUAAACAGCCGGCCCCCGGCACCCACCACCUCCUUUCUGUCUCCGUGCACUUGGCUCCUCUCGGGACCUCACGGGAGUGGAUGCUGCAGCCUCUGUCCCUUUCUGGUGGCUCACUUCAGUCGGCAUCGUGUCCACCAGGCUCAUCUGUGCUGUGGCAGCCGUCGGGCCUUCCUUCCUUGCUAAGCCGGGUAAUAUUCCGCUCCGUUCCUCCACGGAUGGGUAGGUGGGCUGCUUCCAGCCCUUGACCGUUGCGGACGAUGCUGCCGCGAAUCUGUGCGCGCGGGUGUCUCCUGGGGGCCCCGCUUCGAUGCCUUGAGGUGCGUAGAUCCAGAGCCGAAUCGCCGGAUCGCUGCUAUUCUAGUCUGUUGUUACCUCUUACCCGUUUUUCUCUCGGAUUUUUGGUCUCUCUCUUGACCGUGGAAGCACAGAGUUGAGAUUAAUAUUUUAUUUGUUCGUCUGAUUUUUAUUUCCUAUUUGUGACUUUUCCUUUAUCCCUGAGUCCUACUCCUGUGUCUCCGUUGUCUUCCUCCGCCCGAUUUUCGCGACUAGUAUUAGCCCUUGGUUGUUUCUCUGUUCUUGGCUGUGCUUACGUUUCUGUAACUGAACUGUCAACGUUCGAUGUCCUUUCAUUCCCAGUCAUUACAGGUGAAGGAAUUGGGGAGCUCAUCCCAAUUUCCACCCUCUUUCCCUGUUCUUUACGUUGUAGCCGGUUCUGUUAUCUCACCCUUCCAUACUGUUUUUUAAUCUGCGUUUUCCGGUUCGACACAUUUAGUGCUCACCUGGGCCUGCGGCUGGGGUUGCCCAUCAGCACAGAUGUUCUCCAGUGCGACUCUCAGGAAGGAAGGGCUCGUGGGGACAAUACUCCCUUCGGUCCUAACUGUUGGCUUCUUUGAAGGUUAUUUAUUUUUGAGAGAGAAAGUGUGAGCGGGGGAGGGGCAGAGAGCGAGGGAGACACAGAGUCCGACGCAGGCUCCAGGCUCCCAGCCGUCCGCACGGAGCCCGACGCGGGGCUCGAACCCACGAACCGCGAGAUCACGACCUGAGCCGAAGUCGGAUGCUUCACCGAGCCACCCAGAACCGACUAUUAGCAUGGCCUUUCUUCCCGCACGCCCACUGGAGCAUUCUGACCCGCUCCCAGGCAGGCUGUUGCUUCGGAUGAAGGUCGCACACCCGGGGACGGGAAAGAGAAAAGCCCACGAAGUUUCGCAGGAAGAUUUCCCACCUUACAACAAGAGAGAGGGUCUGCGCGCGGUGAGGACAGCGGCUGCUGGUGUCCGGGCACAAUUCUAGUUUGGAGAAGGGUCCCAGGUGGGAGCAGUGGCAAUGGGGUUGCUAUGGUUACCAGGCUAAGCCGCUUCCCAUUCUCAGGGGCCUGAGGAUGUGGGGCUUCUGGGGCCACAGUGGGCCGGGGGCAGGGGGACCCACGGGGGUUCUGGGGAACGCGAGUUCCUGUGUUUGGAGGGACGGGCGUGGGGGCGGUCAAGCUAUAGGAAUGGGUGGAAUCUGACCGCGACAUUGAAGGCCCAGACGGGCAGUCGGCCAGCGGAGAGGUGCCGAGGCUGUGAGCUCGGGUGGUGGCGGGACAGAUGAGCAGUGUGGGAGCAGGAGGGGGGAUGCCUGGUUCCGGGCACCCCCCCUUCCCUGGAUGUCCGAGGGGUCACACGCUCCCCUUCGUCCUAGACUGGACCAGACAUUUCUAGGAAAUGAAGCUAACCUUUCUUUCUUUCUUUUUUAUUUUUCAUGUUUAUUUUUGAGAGAGAGAGAGAGAGAGAGACAGAGCAUGAGCAGGGUCGGGGCAGAUACAGAGGGAGACACAGAAUCCGAAGUGGGCUCCAGGCUCCGAGCUGUCAGCACAGAGAGCCUGACGCGGGGCUUGAACCCACGAACCGUGAGAUCGUGACCUGAGCCAAAGUUGGAUGCUUCACCGACCGAGCCACCCAGGUGCCCCCUAACGUUUCUAAUUUGAUUGCCAUUUCAUUUGUGUCCUAUAUAAUUGCUGACCUCUUGCAUUAGUAAACACCGACGACCAGCCUUUCACAGAGCUUUUAAACGGGAGAAUAUCAAGCCUUGUCGUCCAGACCAUGACAUCGGGUUGAGGGCGAGGGCAGGCGAGCCGUGAGCCCCGCAGAGCAGGGCCGAACAGCAGCUCUUUCUCAAGCCGCCCUUCACAGCCCACUGAGGCCUCGGGCACAGGACCCCCGGACCUGUGCCGCUAACUGUGCGCCCGCCCCCCCCAAAACACAACCAACAGCCUCGGCAGGAAGCUCCUUUCAUAGUCAGGUGCACGGGCCGUCCAGGUCUUCCCGGUGGAGUUCAAGCCCAGCGCCCUCCCCCGUGGAAACAGCAGGUGACGGCACCCCGCGCGCUUGUUAGGACAGCCACGUGGCUGAGCUCACGUCCCGGAACACAACGUCCAGGCUCAAAUUCCCACCACGCGUGUGACACCACAUGGUGAUAGAGUUUUUUCAAGUCUCGGUUUCCUUGCCUUUAAACUGGGGAUAGUGAUUCCCCCAUGAACUUGCUGGAUCUGUGACAACAGAUGGGGACAGACGUCGAGAGUGCUUAGCACGGUACCCGACACAGAGGAGACACGCGGUGCAAAUGUCGGCUGUUGUUUUAUGUUUGAUUGGACGGCUCCCCUCGCGGGACUCGGUCCCCCAAGCGGGCUGCGCUCGUCCUUCGGCCCGCAAACCCUGCCGGGCUCUCCGUGGCGGCUCCCCCAGAACACAGCCAAUCACACAGCCAAUCACUGGGUACCCUCUGCCAAGGGGACACCCCACGCUGACCUGAUCCCCCUUGGAACAUGUCCCUGCACCCAAACAGAGAUCAGAGGCUAAGCUGCUUCCCCCCCACAGUAACUCAGAGUGGCAGGGGUGAACUGUGACACACGGGCGUGGUUGUCCCCGAGAGUGACUCACCUCCCUGAAACUCCAAGGCAGGCAGCCGCAGGGGCCCCGCAGUUCCCAGCCGCGGGACUCCUCUGGACGCGCAGGGCCGGCCUGUGGGUUCUGCAAGGGCUCGGGAAGGGGGUCGCCGUCACCGGGCUCCCCGCCCACCCCUCCACCCCCAUACACAGAGGAAAGAGGUGUCCCUCGGGACAGGAGCCAGUCUGCUGUGGAGAAGCCGAAGGACCCUGAGCAAGCCACGGGGUCUGCUGUCCUUGCUGCAAAAUGAGCAGGUCGUCUCGGGGGCCGCAGGCCUCCUGUGCAGGGUGGCACGCAUCAGACAACAGGGGACCCCCAGCCUUCAGUGCAUUGACGGGCCUCCCGGGGACAGGGCUGGGGGCAGGGCGGGUUCUGGACACCUGACACUGGGAAGCUGCUCCUGUGAGAUCGGGGCAAUAAAUCACUAAACAUUUUUGUUUUGUUUUAAUUUUUUAAUGUCUAUUUAUUUUUGAAAGAGAGAGACAGAGCGGGGGGCUCGAACUCACGGACCGUGAGAUCAUGACCUGAGCCGGAGUCAGAUGCCCGACCGACUGAGCCACCCAGGCGCCCCAAAACAUUUCUAAACAAAGCCAACAAAACCCAAAGUUUGGCUUUUGCCGGAAGAUUGACAAGACUUCUAUUUUCUGUAGGGAUGAUUUUAUAAAACUAGUUGAAAUAGAAAGAGAUCAAAUGUUAUGCAGCUGGGUCAGUGGUUAAUUUUUUUUAAAGUUAAUAUUUUUAUAAAUUUUGUGACACCUGUGGUCGCUUUAAAAACAUUCUUAAGUGUAUUUAUUUGGAGAGGGAAAGAGCACACGCGUGAGUGGGGGAGGGGCAGAGAGAGGGAGACACAGAAUCCCAGGCCGGCUCCAGGCUCUGAGCUCUCAGCACAGAGCCCGACACAGGGCUUGAUCUCAUGAACCCUGAGAUCAUGACCUGAGCCGAGAUCGAGAGUCCGACACUUAAUCAACCGAGCCACCCAGGCACCCCUCUUUCUUUUUUAAUUAAAGAAUGUUGAGAUGAUUUUAGUGCUUGCCAUUUGCCGUGAUAUAUUUUCUCAUUCUAAAUAAAGACUGACUUUCGUGCUUAA